rnacentral:siRNA from 1 species
AUCACGGUUACUUACGUUCAUCCC